ACCCCGAUUAUGAAGGACUGACGGUACCUGAGGAAUAAGCACCGGCUAACUCCGUGCCAGUGCCGCGGUAAUACGGAUCCCGCAAGCGUUUUCCGGAUUCACUGGGUUUAAAGGGUGCGUAGGCGGGUUUGUAAGUCAGUGGUGAAAUCCCCGAGCUUAACUUGGGAACUGCCAUUGAUACUGCAAGUCUUGAAUUUUCUGGAGGUAAGCGGAAUAUGUCAUGUAGCGGUGAAAUGCUCAUAUAUGAAUAUAACUCCUUUGCGAAGGCAGCUUACUACGGGAUUAUUGUCGCUGAGUCACCAAAGCGUGGGGAUCAAACAGGAUUAGAUAUCCUGGUAGUCCACCCCCCAAACGAUGAUUACUCGACAUUACCGUUAUUACAGUUAGUGUCUAACGAAAGCAUUAAUAAUCCACCGGGGAAUUCCACCGCAAGGUUGAAACUCAA
rnacentral:rRNA from 1 species